UUUUCUCUACACUCCUGCUCAAUUGUUUUUAUUUUUCUGUCGAUUUGUUUUGGUUUGUUUUUAAAUAUCGCAUUUGUCUUAAUAUGAAUGAAAUCUGCCUUCUUGACUCUUUAUGCCGCUGCCUCGUCCGAUGUUAUAUGACGUGUUGUAAAGAAAGAAAAAUGUCAAAGAGCAAAACCAAUUUGUCAACGUUGUGUGUACCGAGUGUGUAUACAUACUUUGAUGGACGAUCGAGGCGUCAUUAUUGCGACCCCUGUUUACUCAAAAUAAAAACACAAAAGUGCAUGUGCUGUGUGUGUGUGUAAUGCGUGUCAGUGAAUGUCUUUGUGUGUCUGUGAAGUGUACGUGUUUUUAUCCCUGUCAUUUGUGGUGUACAGUUUGACAUUUGAUUCGAGAGUCGAGAGAAACAGAGAAAAGAAAAGAAAUCCGUUUGUUGUUUGAUAAAUAGGAAUAGAAUUUAGAGGGGGGGGGUGAAAUCCACCAACAGUGUUUCUAUCGUUUUCCAAAAUGAUUCUUACUACACUUCAAGAGGAAUAAACUGGAGAUGGUGAUGGGGUGGAGUGUAGGUGACCCCAAAUUGCCCAGCGUGUACGUCAAUUUCUUGGCCAGCUGGCAGUGCCACUCUGAACUUUUGUAAGACACCAACAGUGAAGAGGAACAGUUCCGUCUUUGCCAGAGAUUCACCUGGGCAUUGUCUCUUACCUGAAGACAAAUAAACAUCCUUAAUGUAAAGAAAGUAAAGAAGCCAAAUUUCGAAACUAAAAAAAAAAAUGUUACCCGCAGAAAAGGCGAGGAAAUUUUCGUUUUUGCAAAACGUUCCAUCGUUAUUCAAAAAUCUUUCUGGCCUGAAUUCCUGGACAUCAUUCCAAAGGGCCGUGUUGUUACUCAUCGCCCAAAAGUGGAGUAGGACCCACGUCUUCUUUGGUAUAUCGUAAUUCUGCAGUUAAAAAACAAAGGAAGAAAUAUAUUGCCGUCAGUCCAUUCGCGUCAAUUGCCCGUCAAUAUGAUGAAUGAUGCAGAAAUUACCUCGUAUUUUGCAUCGUGCGUCGUAUUGCGCCACAUGCCCGGAACCGAACAGCUAAAUCGGAGCGUCUCAUGAAUAAAUGCCUCCAAGUAAGGUAACUGCGUUCGCU